UUGGCUACAAAUUUCCUCCAUUUUCUUCUACUUACACAAAACUGGAAGCUAUUACGUAUGCCCUUGGAGUGGGAGCAUCGCUCAAGGAUCCAGAAGAUUUGAAAUUUAUUUAUGAAGGAAGCUCUGAUUUCUCCUGUUUGCCUACCUUUGGAGUUAUUAUAGCACAGAAAUCCAUCAUGGGUGGAGGAUUAGUAGAGAUUCCUGGGCUUUCAAUCAAUUUUGCGAAGGUUCUUCAUGGGGAGCAGUACUUGGAGUUGUAUAAGCCACUUCCCAGAGCCAGCCAUGUCCUUGAGAUCCUCGAAGUUGCUACCAAUCAUCCAGAAUGUUGGAAAGCUGCUGGUUUCUCCACCUCCUAACAGCAGAUUUCUUCUGGGAUUGGUACGGGAUUCAGCUUCCUGUUCAUGCACAGAACUGGAAAGUACACUGAGUAAAAUCAUCUGUAAAA